rfam:Loxodonta africana unplaced genomic scaffold scaffold_0, whole genome shotgun sequence.
UCCCUGGUGGUCUAGAGGUGAGGAUUUGGCACUCUCACCGCCGUGGCCCGAAUUCAAUUCCCAGUCAGGGAA